GAUGAACGCUGGCGGCGUGCUUAACACAUGCAAGUCGAACGAGAAGUGGAGACGGAAACCUUCGGGCGGAAGACUUUAUUUCGAGUGGCGGACGGGUGAGUAACGCGUGGGUAACCUGCCUCAUACAGGGGGAUAACAGUUGGAAACGACUGUUAAUACCGCAUAAGACCACAGCACCGCAUGGUGCGGGGGUAAAAACUCCGGUGGUAUGAGAUGGACCCGCGUUCGAUUAGCCAGUUGGCGGGGUAACGGCCCACCAAAGCGACGAUCGAUAGCCGAUCUGAGAGGAUGACCGGCCACAUUGGGACUAAGACACGGCCCAAACUCCUACGGGAGGCAGCAGUGGGGAAUAUUGCACAAUGGGGGAAACCCUGAUGCAGCGACGCCGCGUGAGUGAAGAAGUAUUUCGGUAUGUAAAGCUCUAUCAGCAGGGAAGAAAAUGACGGUACCUGAGUAAGAAGCCCCGGCUAACUACGUG
rnacentral:rRNA from 1 species